GCGUUCAUAGCUCAGUUGGUUAGAGCACCACCUUGACAUGGUGGGGGUCGUUGGUUCGAGUUCAAUUGAACGCACCA
rnacentral:tRNA from 2 species